rnacentral:lncRNA from 1 species
CCAAUAUUAAGUUUCAUAAAAUUUUACCCUUGAUUCACCCAAGAACACUUAAAUGAGAUGGCGCGAGUCUCUUCUAGCUUAACCAAGGUCCUGGAUUCGAUCAUUGGUUUGGCCAUGCAGCAGUGUUAAAACUCUUAGGGAGAGUUUGCCACCCAUUUGGUCGAGGGAUUUAGUUCUGCAGUUGCGGGUAAAGGAUACCCAGUUUACGCCCAAAAAAAAUUUACCCUUGAUUCUCUUUCGCUCCAAAAGAACUGCAUUUCUCUUUCUAUCCUUUUUUGCAUUUAUUUAAACGAAGGCUCCUAACUGUGUAAUACUGACAUCGCAGAUUGAAUACAUUUGUCGGUGUACCGAGAUAUGAGAUUACAUUCAAUCACAACUAUUUUCCUAAAUUACUACUGAUGUUCAGUGUUGUGUUUAGUGUAUGUGCUCCACAUGCUCCUAAUAAUAGCACAUAUUUUUGAAUCACUAUUAUUAUAUAAUAAACCAAAAGAAAUACGAUUAUGUAUGUGUAAGCAAGAAUCAUACAUUUGCUUUAACCGUGUUAUUCUGGUUAAUUGUUAACGGAGAAAACAAAACAAAUGCAACUUAUUCUGUGAAGUUGAAUUGAGUCCUAAAUUACACUUCCAAAACCUAUUUAUGAAAAGAUGAAACGGAACUAUGUAAUUAAUUAAUUAAUUUGGUGAUUUGAAUUUGNNNNNNNNNNNNNNNNNNNNNNNNNNNNAAAAAAAAAAAAAAAAAAAAGAGGAGUGAAAUGAAAAGAAGUACCAGAACGACGACGUUAGUAUCUUUGAAGAAUGAUGCUAUUUACUCUUUGUUUGUCCACUGAUUUUCUGCUUUGUUUAAGGGUUUCAUUAACGCAAUAAGCCACACGCAAAAGGAGAUGCGUGAAUGAACGAACUCAAAAUGAAAACUGAAUAAAUGAAUUUGGG